CUGCUGUAUAAUAGCAGCCCUCAGCCCACUGCCAGGUACCUGGCUGUAGAUUCAUAUAGAUGAAGCUACUCUGUGGCAAAAAGUUGACGUAGACCACUCCGCGAAUAUCCUUGUACGAUCCCAUUUGGUGCUCAUGGCCUGCUGAAGACUGAUGUUGGAACAGAAGAGCUGAGAAACACACCUGCCCCUACCUCAAGCCCUGCACCAAGUAAAAGUCAGCAGCAAUAUACCCUGGGGAAAGGGCUAGAGUGUGGCUGGAGAUCUUGCUGAAAGCUGGAGGUGGAGGAGGAAUACAAAGAUAAGAUUUUAGGACUCCAGGCUUCACAACUCCUUCUACAUCUGUUGUUCAAGGUUCAGACUCAAUAUGCAACUAAUUUAUGAAGCCCGUUUAGACCACAACAACCCUGAUGCAAGAUGUUCUCCACUAUGUUAAGAUGCAGCAUGAAGCCCUUACCAGAAGCUAAGAGUAUUCCGUUAGAGCAACACAAAACAGACUAAGACAACUUGUUCAUUACUGAUGUACAGAUUUCACUGACCAGCAACACUCCAGUGAAACUGCAGUCAAAAUUUAUGGAGUCUGCAGUAAAUAUGAAGCUAAAGUAACAGGGGACGUAUUCUUGGUAAACUUGGAAAGAGAUGUGACUCAGUGCACCAAGAAAAAGGACUGAGACCUGAGAAACUUGGCAAAGCAUUUCCUCAG
rnacentral:lncRNA from 10 species